rnacentral:rRNA from 1 species
GAUGAACGCUGGCGGCGUGCCUAAUACAUGCAAGUCGAGCGAACGGACGAGAAGCUUGCUUCUCUGAUGUUAGCGGCGGACGGGUGAGUAACACGUGGAUAACCUACCUAUAAGACUGGGAUAACUUCGGGAAACCGGAGCUAAUACCGGAUGAUAUUUUGAACCGCAUGGUUCAAAAGUGAAAGACGGUCUUGCUGUCACUUAUAGAUGGAUCCGCGCUGCAUUAGCUAGUUGGUAAGGUAACGGCUUACCAAGGCAACGAUGCAUAGCCGACCUGAGAGGGUGAUCGGCCACACUGGAACUGAGACACGGUCCAGACGCCUACGGGAGGCAGCAGUAGGGAAUCGUACGCAAUGGGCGAAAGCCUGACGGAGCAACGCCGCGUGAGUGAUGAAGGUCUUCGGAUCGUAAAACUCUGUUAUUAGGGAAGAACAUAUGUGUAAGUAACUGUGCACAUCUUGACGGUACCUAAUCAGAAAGCCACGGCUAACUACGUG